rnacentral:snRNA from 1 species
GGAUGUGAGGGCGAUCUGACCGUGACAUCUGUCACCCCGUUGGUUUGGCUGAUCUGGCUGGCUGGGAAGGUGUCCCCUCCCUCCCUCCCUGCUCCAUGUGCAUCCCUCCUAAAGCUGCAUGUCUGGUCGAAGAGGAUGACUUUCCCCAAUAGAGAAGGAUCCUUCUUUGGUCAAGGGAGUAGCUGGGUUCCCCUGUUAGAAUCUCCUAACAAGCUCUCAAGGUCC